rnacentral:rRNA from 1 species
UACAGAGGUCUCAAGCGUUGUUCGGAUUCAUUGGGCGUAAAGGGUGCGUAGGCGGCGCGGUAAGUCGGGUGUGAAAUUUCGGAGCUUAACUCCGAAACUGCAUUCGAUACUGCCGUGCUCGAGGACUGGAGAGGAGACUGGAAUUUACGGUGUAGCAGUGAAAUGCGUAGAUAUCGUAAGGAAGACCAGUGGCGAAGGCGGGUCUCUGGACAGUUCCUGACGCUGAGGCACGAAGGCCAGGGGAGCAAACGGG